UAAGGAAUAUUGGACAAUGGCCGCAAGGCUGAUCCAGCCAUGCCGCGUGCAGGAUGAAGGUGCUCUGCAUUGUAAACUGCUUUUGUUCGGGAAUAAACCCUUUCACGUGUGAGAGGUUGAAUGUACCGAAAGAAUAAGGGACGGCUAACUUCGUG
rnacentral:rRNA from 1 species